rnacentral:snRNA from 14 species
AGCUUUGCGCAGAGGCGAUAACGUGACCAAUGAGGCUCUGCCGAGGUGCGUUUAUUGCUGGUUGAAACUUCCAUCGGGGAGUGCAGCAGACAGCCAGAGUUCAACGCUGCGCCGCGGCAGGGGUCCGUAUGCAGCUGGCCGUUUGGAGUUCCUUUUAUAUAAAUUUGUAUAGCUAAAAUAAGA